UCGGGGUUCCCCGGAGGCGUGGCUGGAAAACCCCGUCAGGACCGAAAGGUAGCAGCGGUAUUCAGUCCACGCUUGUCGGGUGCAGCUCCGGCGG
rnacentral:SRP_RNA from 1 species